rnacentral:rRNA from 1 species
AAGCGGUGGAUGAUGUGGUUAAUUCGAUGCAACGCGAAAACCUUACCACCUUGACAUGUACGGAAUUUGCCAGAGAUGGCUUAGUGCUCGAAAGAGAGCCGUAACACAGGUGCUGCAUGGCUGUCGUCAGCUCGUGUCGUGAGAUGUUGGGUUAAGUCCCGCAACGAGCGCAACCCUUGUCAUUGGUUGCUACAUUUAGUUGGGCACUCUAAUGAGACUGCCGGUGACAAACCGGAGGAAGGUGGGGAUGACGUCAAGUCCUCAUGGCCCUUAUAGGUGGGGCUACACACGUCAUACAAUGGCUGGUACAAAGGGUUGCCAACCCGCGAGGGGGAGCUAAUCCCAUAAAGCCAGUCGUAGUCCGGAUCGCAGUCUGCAACUCGACUGCGUGAAGUCGGAAUCGCUAGUAAUCGUGGAUCAGAAUGUCACGGUGAAUACGUUCCCGGGUCUU